rnacentral:rRNA from 1 species
UACGAGGGGUCCUAGCGUUGUUCGGAAUCAUUGGGCGUAAAGGGUGUGUAGGUGGCUAUGUAAGUCAGGUGUGAAAGCCCCGGGCUCAACCCGGGAAGUGCAUCUGAUACUGCGUAGCUUGAGUACCGAAGAGGAUAGUGGAAUUCCAGGUGUAGUGGUGAAAUACGUAGAUAUCUGGAGGAACACCCGUGGCUAAGGCGGCUCUCUAGUACGGUACUGACGCUGAGACGCGAAAGCGUGGGGAGCGAACAGG